GAGUAGGUUGCUGACGGUAGAGUGUGUUAGCUUUCGACGUGGCGUUUUGGCCGGAGGUUUUUCUCAUUUCCUGGACUGCAGCAACUUCCGUAUUAGAGAGCGAAGGGUUAAGUUUAUUACCUAACGGUGUGUGUGUGACUGUCAGCGCACUGUGAGAGUCAGACAUUGAUCUCAGCUUAGUCUGAACAGUGCUGGGACUUUCUCUAUAUAAACAAAGAAUGACUGCCAGUAUCGUCUGCGCUCCCUCCUCUUGUGACUGCUUUGUUGCUCUUCCACCUGCCACUGAGAGAAAAGAGGUGAUUUUUGGGAAGAACUCGGACAGACCCCUGGAUGAGGUUCAGGAAGUGGUUUACUUUCCUGCUGCUGUAUAUGCACCAGGCUCUAAGGUGGAGUGCACCUACAUUGAAAUCGAGCAGAAGGAGAAAACACAUGCAGUGAUUCUCAGUAGGCCGGCCUGGCUGUGGGGAGCUGCAAUGGGUGCCAACAGCCAUGGUGUCUGCAUUGGCAAUGAAGCUGUGUGGACUAAAGAGCCCAUCAAUGAGAAGGAAGCACUGCUUGGAAUGGAUCUUGUCAGGCUUGGACUGGAGAGAGGUUCCACAGCUAAGGAAGCCCUUGAUGCUAUCACGUCCCUUUUGGAGCAGUAUGGUCAGGGCGGGAACUGCAAAGAAGCCCCAGAAGCAUUCAGCUAUCAUAAUACAUUUCUGAUUGUGGAUAGGAAAGAGGCUUGGGUACUGGAGACAUCUGGGCAAUACUGGGCUGCUCAGCAAAUUACAGAAGGAGCAAAAAACAUCUCCAGUCAGCUGACUAUCACCACAGAGAUCAGCAGUGAGCAUCCUGGCCUUCGAAAUUAUGCCCAGAGUCAGGGAUGGUGGAGCGGUGUCAGUGAGUUCAAUUUCUGCCAGGUUUUCUCCCCAACUAACCCACCAGUGAGAAUGGAGGCUGCAAAAGCUCGUUACAUAGGAGGCAAGGAGCUGCUCUGUAAACAAGCAGGAAGCAUCCAAGCUGAGACUAUCAUGGACGUCCUACGUGAUAAAGAAAGUGGAAUCUGCAUGGACUCUGAAACCUUCUGUACCACAGGCAGUAUGGUUUCCAUUCUACCUCAGGAUGACAGUUUACCCUGUGUGCAUUUUUUUACAGCCACUCCUGACCCUUCGAGAUCUGUCUUCAAACCCUUCAUCUUUAUUGAUGAUGUUAUGCCAGUCCCUAUGGUGAUUUCCCCGAAUUAUGGUGGUGAUGACCCAGUCAGGAAACAGCCUCGGUUCCAGAGAAAAGUGGAUCGCAGACAUGAGUUGUACAAGGCCCACCAACAGGCUCGAGCUGUGAUGGAGAGUGGACAGGAGGAAGGUGUAAAAUUGCACCAGACUAUGCAAAACCUCGAGAGACAGGCAUUAAAUGCUAUCAAGAACAUGUUGACCAGUGGAGGAACUUUUGAUCCAGAGGAGUUGGCAGAUCUGUUCUUUGACUGUGUUGACACAGAGAUCAAAUUUUACAAAUAAACUGUCAAAUGUGAAACUCCUGCAAAUUCCCUUUAGAUUCACAUAAACAGAAGAUUCAGAAUUAGUCGCUGAGGAGAAACUGUUAAACAUAAACAUUCAGAAUUUUAGCCAAUUAUCAGAAGAAUUACUUGCAAUCCUGUUAUACUUUUUAAAAGGAACCAGAGCAAAGAUUGUGGUUUAUCAACUGCUGGACCAUUGACCAGAGAAAGUAAAGUAGAUGGAUAUCUUGCUUGAAGCCAUUGAAGCUGACACAUGCAUACACAAACGCCUCAUCAUAUGUGUUUGAAAACUCUCUUGCCUGCCCAUGGAUUUGCUGAUGUAUUGAUUUUUAACUAAUUGAAAAUUGUCUUUUGUAGCUGCUAAUCUUCAGGCACUGGUAAGCUGAUUGGCAGUGAAAUAUGUAUUGAAAUGUACUUCUAUUUCAGGAGACAAACUCUACAAAGGGAUACUAAUGCAGCUAUUCCUAAUUAGCCUGACCCACUAAACAGAAUAAUGUUGAGAAUAAUUAGUUUAAGUCAGAUGUGGGUUUGUGAUUUCAAAUUAACUAUCCUCAUUUUAAAAUACUCAUACAAAAGCGCAUUCUUGUGUUCAAGCAAACAUAGGCCCAAUAACCCAAUGCUAAAGUCUAUCAUUGGCAAUGAGCUGGGAAAUGUUAAACUAAUGCAUGGAGCCAUGACUACUUUUUGGGAAAAAAAAUUCACUUAAGUGCUCCAUUACAUUAGUAACAUAGCCUGUGAAAUGUGUUGCCAUGCCAACAAUGCCCUAUUCAGUUGGCAUUUUAAAGUGGCCCAGUGAUUUCUUAAUGUCCUGUUCCCUCCUUCUGGAAGUUUAUCCUAAAAUGUAGGUUUUCUGCACAAAGCAGCAGUUAUAUGGAGAUUGGUUUGGGAAAGAGCCAGUUGGGAAAGUGCCACUGUCCCUGCUGACAGUCAGAUUUUAAUUUCUUUUUAUAUAAACAGAAGAUCAAAAUGUUUAGUCAUUUCUGAUGUCCUGUGAUGGAAAGAGGGGCUCACCUUGAAUCUUGCUCGUAAGUGACAUCAAAUGAGUUCUGUUUGAAAGUGCUCAUGUGCAAACUUAACUCCUCAAAUUUGUAUAACUUAAUGCCAUUUAUUGCAAAGUCAUGGGCAUGGAGACUGUAAAGUGUCCUGCAAGAAUUGGGGUGGUGAGGCAUGGAGCAGAAAGAUACAGGAAAGAAAAGAGAUAAUAGGGACUGCAGAUGCUGGAGAAUCUGAGAUAACAAGGUGUGGAGCUGGAUAAACACAGCAGGCCAAGCAGCAUCAGAGGAGCAGGAAAGCUGACAUUUCAGGCCUAGACCCUUCAUCAGAAAGGGUCUAGGCCCGAAAUGUCAGCUUUGCUGCUUGGCCUGCUGUGUUCAUCCAGCUCUACACCUUCUUAUAUAGGAAAGAAAAGACUUGAGUGAAAUACUGCCCAUCUGUACUUGACAAGUAAAGUUAUCCCUUUUUUUUGGCGACAUCAUCUUUUAAUGGUGUCCUUCUGUUGCUUUGAUCUUCAUCUUCAAUUCUGUGGCCCAUGUGUAUCCAGUGAGUAGUUGUGAUAGUUUGACAACUGUGACUGUAAGGGAUGGAGCAAGCUUUCACCUGUUCUAUAGUUGUUGUUGAAACAAUAAUAGAAAAUACUCAAACAGUGUAAAGACAUAAUUUCUUACAUAAUCUAUGACAAAUGCUGCCAGACCUGAUUUUACUUCAGAUUUCCUGGAUUUCUAGUGGUCUGCUUUUCUGUUGUAGUCAUAGCCACUUUCUGUUUAUGUUAACGUUUUUUAGCUUGCAAAGCCUGCUUCAGUUAUUUUGAGGGUUGGAGGGCCUCGUGCAAGUGAAACCAAGGCUUAGUUGUACAAAACUUGAAUAUUAUAGAAAAGAGAGACGUGUUGUGAAAAUUACUUUUGUAUUGCAGUCAUCAGGACGAAUGCAAGAGUACCAAAUUUCAAAUUAUCACAACAAUUUUAUACUACAGGUGAAAAUACCAUAGACAUAGGAAAAGUGGGUCAUUCAGCCCACUGCGUCUACUCUGCCAUGCAAUGAAAUCAUGAUGACUAAUCUGAUAACUUUCAACUGCAGAUGGUGAUGGCUAGCACGAGGGGACAUCACUUUAAAUUGAGGGGUGAUAGAUAUAGGACAGAUGUCAGAAGUAGGUUCUUUACUCAGAGUAGUAAGGGCAUGGAAUGCCCUGCCUGCAACAGUAGUAGAUUCGCCAACUUUAAGGGCAUUUAAGUAGUCAUUGGAUAAACAUAUGGAUAAUAAUUGAAUAGCGUAGGUUAGAUGGGCUUCAGAUUUCACAGGUUGGCACAACAUCGAGGGCCGAAGGGCCUGUACUGUGCUGUAAUUAUCUAUGUUCUAUGUUCCACUUUCCUGCAGAACCAUCGCUUCAUUUUACUGAUUAAAAAUAUCUCUGUCAGCCUUGCAUGUACAUAGUGAGUCAACCUCAACAGCCUCGGUGUUAAAGAAUUCUGCAGAUUUACAACCCUCAAAAAUGUAUACUGAUAUCUCUCGUAAAUGUGUGCCCUCAUAUUCAUACUCAUCCACAAGGGCAAACAACUGUACCGUAGGUACCCCAUCAAGUCCUAUAAGGAUCUUGCAUUCUUGAAUAAAUGCAACCCUUGUUAUUUUAUAUUCUAACCAGUACAGGCCCAAUCUAUUCCAGCAUCUCCACAGGGUCCAUCAGAACCUAGUAUUGACCCAGUGAACCUUUCUCUUUAUUCAUUCACAGGAUGAAGAUGUUGUUGGCUAGGCCAGCAUUUAUUGCCCAUCCCUAAUUUCAGGUAGGCCAGAUCAGGCAAGGAUGACAGUUUACUUCUAGUGAACCAGGUGGGUUUUUCUGUCAUUGGCAACGGGUUCAUGGUCAUCUUAAUUCCAGAUUUUUUAAAAAAAAAUUGAAUUCAAAUUCCACCAUCUGCCAUAGUGGGAUUCUCUCCCCCAGACAUCUGAAUUAGAAGUCCAGCAAUAUUACCACUCUGCCAUCACCUCCCCUUCUCUGGACUGUCUCCAAUGCCAGUAUAUCUAUGCAAGCAUAAAUGGCCCAAGGCGAUUCACAAUAUUCUCAGGUGGUUGACUAGGUUCUUGUAUAGUUGUAACAAAAUCUCUGACCUUUACACACCAUUCCCUCUGAAAUAAUGAACUUGAAGCAUGUGAAUCGUGGAAAAAGCUGCUGAUUUGGUUUCAAUGAUUUCUCUGCUUGGCCAACACAUUGCCAUGGAGAAAGCAACAAGGAGGUCAUAUGCUCCCAAGCUCUGGGGUACCACAAUAAAGGCACUUUUGCUUUCUUCAUUUCAAACAGUUGACCAGCCAACUGACCCACACCCUCUUCUUCCAUAGUAUACAUUUUUGGGAUUGUUUGAAAUUUGGCAUUCUUGCACUUUUCCCAAUGGUUACAAGAUGAAACGCUUUUGAUUCUCUUUUCUGCAAAACAAGUAUGAAUCACCCUCCCUCCAAAUAAUCCCAAUUUUCAUUAGAAGUGCCAAGAACCCAUCAAAGCCUUUGGGAGAAACUUGGGGAUAACUUCAGAAGGAAAACAGGAAAUUGACAGGAAAAAUUCCUACCUUGCCACAUUUGAAGGACACACAAUUAUAUUUGCAAAAUGGUCUUUAUAUUUAGUUCUUGUAUUUAAAAAAAGAGCUUGGCUAGUUAAGUUGAAGGCUGGUUCUACAGUUUUAACCAGACUGUACUUAUUUCAACCUUAUAAUAUUCCAUUUGAAAUCUUGCUGUUUGGUAGUGAUCUGACAUCAGCCAAGGAAAGAUUGUACAGUAUACCCAAUUUAAAGGGAUCCUGAGUCUUAAGAGGCCAUUUAUAUUGCAGAAUUAAUUAAAGGGGAUGUGUAAUCCACUAAAUUGCUGUGUAAUCCUGCAUGUUGAAAACAUACACUUACUGGCGUCUCCCUGUCUCCAGUUCUGUGGGGGCGAAAUUCCUCUUUUAACGAAGAGCAGGAGUUGGCUUUUUUUUUGCCCCCUGUAAUUAAUGGCCUCACCAACCAAGUCAUUCUCAAGAUGGUCACAUGCUUGGAAAUAUUGCACUUGUGACUCCAUUUGCUGUCUUUGUAGAGACACAAAGGACCGUGUUUUUUAUUUGUUUCGUCCUUUAACAUUCCUCAGGGCACAGUCAUUUGGCAAAGAAUUUCCAUCACGUCAUACAUUUGGAGUCACCCCCUAUAAUCACUUCUUGACCUUUGUCCUCCAUGAUGUCGAUGGAGCAGUGUUAAAGCUAGAGAUUUUGGAGCCAGAAACUCCCCUUCUCAUAGUGGACUGUGAACAUUUAUAAAAUAUGAAAUUUAUAUAGAAAAAUUCUAUUUAAAUUAUAUUAUUUUAAAAUGUAGAAACUCUUCUCCUUUUACACCCCCUUCCAAAAAACUUAUGCAUUUUGUUUUUAGACUGAAUUUUAAUUUGCUGCUAAAUGAUUUGAGAUACUUAUUGACUACUCUUCGUCAGUCUUUUCCCUGGACAGAAUUGUUUUGGAAUGUGCAAAGAUAGGCACUCACCUCUUUUAAAGGAGUUUAACUUCGCUGGCCCUGCAUUUUCAGUGCACUGGAUAAUUGCUUCCCUCCAAUUCCUUUGUGAGCUAUUUUAACCCAACUUGUACCUGUUGCAAGGGAGGUAACAUCCAAAUUAAUGCAAGUAAGACAGAAAUUUAAUACAUGUGCACUCCCAAUAGAGAAUAGAAAAUAAUUAAACCUACAAAAAUGAGAGCUCCAAAUUUGAGUUUUACCAAGGAUUAGGGUUUCAUAGCGUAGAAAUGCAAUGUUAGUGGUGUAUGUCAAAAUGUCAACCAGUGUUCUGCACUUUGAGCAAUACAGAUGAAUAAUACCCUUUCCCUCUUUGUAGACUAGCAUAUGAGAUAAAAGGAAGGAAAAGUACAUAUUAGUUUAAAACUACGCCAAAGAAAAUGUUGGCAUAGCGUGCGGUGUACAAUAAAUAGUCAACGAAAAAUGUGUUAGAAAAAUGUUUCAAGAACAACCAGUUGAAGUUACUCUGUCACAGACUGUGAAAUGUUUUUGUUUCUGUAUUAUUUAUGAUGCUGUUAACUAAUAAAUUACAGGAAUGACAACAAA